rnacentral:lncRNA from 1 species
UGGAGGUGGAACCUAGUGAAGUUCGGGGCGGGGUUUGUCCACCAGCGCUCUAAGGAUGUGGAGGCUGAGGGGCGGGCUCAGAAUGGAAGGGAUCUUAUCCACUAGUUGCGGGUCUCGGAGAAGCUGCAGGUAGGGCUUAAGAGAUGCUGCUUGUAGUGUUAAGAUGCUAAGUGCAGUAAGUGGGUUCAGGGAUGGGACAGAACGAAUGAAACGGGAAUUGAGGAUUGUGUUAAAAGUAACUAGCCUGAGAGGUUACUGUUGAAGAGAAAAUGGUGCUUGUGGACUGGGGCGGGGCAUACUAAGGUCCUGAGAUGAGUGAGAACAGGGUCAAGAGCUGAGGCCUAGGGCACUGAAACAAGGGGCCAGGCUUGGAGGGCUGGAGCGGGGCCACUUCAGAGGGCGGGUUAGGAGCUCACUGGAGGGUCCGGAGGUGCUCACAAUGGGUUAAGGGUUUGGAAGACCGUAGGGGCAGGUAGUUCUGCGGCCAGCACUGGGACGCCUGCAGCCGAGAUCUAGGACAUA